rnacentral:lncRNA from 10 species
UGACUCUGCUGGGGAAGUAUUCAGAAUUCUGAAAUGGCCCCAAAGAGUUUCAGCAUGACUAUUUUUAAUCGUCAAAGACUGGAAACAACCGAAAUGUCCCAAAACAAGAGCUGAAUAAAUCAUGGGACAUUAUAAAAAAGGAGAGGGCACAGAUCUAUGUCCUGAUAUGGAACAUAAAGCAAAAGUUACACAACAACUCAAAGGUUUACAGCAACCAGGCACAAUGGCUCAUGCCUAUAACCCUAGCCCUUUGGGAGGCCAAGGCAGGCAGAUCACUGGAGCCCAGAAGUUCAAGACCAGCGUAGGCAACAUGGUAAAACCCCAUCUCUACAAAAAAACACAAAAAUUAGCUGGGCAUGGUAGCAUGAGCCUGUAGUCCCAGGUACUCAGGCUGGGUACCUGAGUGGGAGGAUCACCUGAGCCCAGGAGGUUGAGGCUGCAGCAAGCCCUGAUCGCGCCACCGCACUUCAUUCAGCCUGGGGAACAGAGUGAGGCUCCGUCUCCAAAAAAAAAAAAAAAAAAAAACCAAAAAGGCAAGCUCAUAACUAAGCUAAAAUCUACUUUCCUGUAACUUUUAUCCUGUUACUGAAAUAAACCAAUAUAAUUCACUC